UCCCCUUUAGCUCAGUUGGUAGAGCAAAUGACUGUUAAUCAUUGGGUCGCAGGUUCGAGCCCUGCAGGGGGAG
rnacentral:tRNA from 1 species